rnacentral:rRNA from 1 species
GCUCCAGACUCCUACGGGAGGCAGCAGUGGGGGAUAUUGCACAAUGGGGGAAACCCUGAUGCAGCGACGCCGCGUGGGCGAAGAAGUAUUUCGGUAUGUAAAGCCCUAUCAGCAGGGAAGAAGAAAUGACGGUACCUGAGUAAGAAGCACCGGCUAAAUACGUGCCAGCAGCCGCGGUAAUACGUAUGGUGCAAGCGUUAUCCGGAUUUACUGGGUGUAAAGGGAGCGCAGGCGGCGCGUUAAGCCUGGUGUGAAAGCCCGCGGCCCAACCGCGGGACUGCCCUUGGAACUGCAUGGCUGGAGUGCGGGAGGGGCAGGCGGAAUUCCUGGUGUAGCGGUGAAAUGCGUAGAUAUCAGGAGGAACACCGGCGGCGAAGGCGGCCUGCUGGACUGCGACUGACGUUGAGGCUCGAAAGCGUGGGGAGCGAACAGGAUUAGAUACCCCCGUAAA